CACUACCUGAACCUGAAAGAGCACAGCUUACAAACGAAAGUAUUGUCUGUUUUAGACAAUGGUUUAUUUGAUGACAUUGGAGAAUCCAUUCAACCAAAGCAUUUCAAGAAGAACAAAGGUUUAUAUAGAGAACACACUGAAAAUCAUUUGGUCAAUCAUAAGAAGCAAAUUGAAACAGAAAUUGAAUGGAAAAACAUCUCAAAAGAAAGAUGGUUGUCAGAAAAAAUACAAGCACUCCAUCGACAAUAUAAAAUCAUCUCACGAUUUGUUGAAAUUUCUCCAGGUUGAAUCAACAUACCACGGUUCCACCUCAAAUCACUUAAAAUCAUCUACAAAGCAGUCUGUUUUUAAAAAUGUAGAUAAACUGCAGUGGACAAUGAUCAAAAAAUUUAUUAAUAAAAGAAUAAAAUUGCUUAGAACAACUGAAGAACGUGGAGAUAUCAAGAGACGGGAAACAUUACUUAAACAAGUUUGUGAAAAUAUAAGACAUUGGACAUCGUA